rnacentral:rRNA from 1 species
UACGAAGGGGGCUAGCGUUGCUCGGAAUCACUGGGCGUAAAGCGCACGUAGGCGGGGCGUUAAGUCGGGGGUGAAAUCCUGGAGCUCAACUCCAGAACUGCCUUCGAUACUGGCGAUCUUGAGUCUGGGAGAGGUGAGUGGAACUCCGAGUGUAGAGGUGAAAUUCGUAGAUAUUCGGAGGAACACCGGUGGCGAAGGCAAUCCCCUGGGCCUGCACUGACGCUCAUGCACGAAAGCGUGGGGAGCAAACAGG